GGGGAGAGUUGUCCGGGUGUUGGAUGUCCCGGUUCUUGACCUGUAGGUGUUCGGUAGGAAAAUCCGCCGGACGUAUGCCAAGGGGUUGAGACGAGUGAGCUUGCUCGCGAAGCAACUGGAAGGGGUCCCAGGAAAAGCCUCUAAGCUUCAGUUCAGAGCGACCGUACCGCAAACCGACACUGGUGCGCGAGAUGAGUAUUCUCAGGCGCUUGAGAGAACUCGGGAGAAGGAACUCGGCAAAUUGACACCGUAACUUCGGAAGAAGGUGUGCCUUGGUAGCUUGAGGGAGAACAUCCCUAGGGCGAAGAGGUUGCAAAAAAUCGGUGGCUGCGACUGUUUACCAAAAACACAGCACUCUGCAAACACGAAAGUGGACGUAUAGGGUGUGACGCCUGCCCGGUGCCGGAAGGUUAAGUGAUGGGGUGCAAGCUCUUGAUCGAAGCCCCGGUAAACGGCGGCCGUAACGAUAACGGUCCUAAGGUAGCGAAAUUCCUUGUCGGGUAAGUUCCGACCUGCACGAAUGGCGUAACGAUGGCCACACUGUCUCCUCCCGAGACUCAGCGAAGUUGAAAUGUUUGUGAUGAUGCAAUCUACCCGCGGCUAGACGGAAAGACCCCAUGAACCUUUACUGUAGCUUUGCAUUGGACUGUGAACCGGUCUGUGUAGGAUAGGUGGGAGGCUUUGAAGCGUGGACGCUAGUCUGCGUGGAGCCAACGUUGGAAUACCACCCUGAUUUGUUUGCGGUUCUAACCUUGGCCCGUUAUCCGGGUCGGGAACAGUGCAUGGUAGGCAGUUUGACUGGGGCGGUCUCCUCCUAAAGAGUAACGGAGGAGUUCGAAGGUACGCUUGGUACGGUCGGACAUCGUGCCUAAAGUGCAAGGGCAAAAGCGUGCUUAACUGCGAGACUGACAAGUCGAGCAGGUGCGAAAGCAGGACCUAGUGAUCCGGUGGUUCUGAAUGGAAGGGCCAUCGCUCAACGGAUAAAAGGUACUCUGGGGAUAACAGGCUGAUACCGCCCAAGAGUUCAUAUCGACGGCGGUGUUUGGCACCUCGAUGUCGGCUCAUCUCAUCCUGGGGCUGUAGCCGGUCCCAAGGGUAUGGCUGUUCGCCAUUUAAGGAGGUACGUGAGCUGGGUUCAAAACGUCGUGAGACAGUUUGGUCCCUAUCUGCCGUGGGCGCUGGAGAUUUGACGGAGCCUGCUCCUAGUACGAGAGGACCGGAGUGGACGCACCUCUGGUGUACCUGUUGUCACGCCAGUGGCAUUGCAGGGUAGCUAUGUGCGGAAGAGAUAACCGCUGAAAGCAUCUAAGCGGGAAACUCGUCUGAAGAUGAGAUCUCCCUGGGGACUUGAUCCCCCUGAAGGGUCGUUCGAGACCAGGACGUUGAUAGGUCAGGUGUGGAAGCGUAGUAAUACGUUAAGCUAACUGAUACUAAUUGCCCGUGAGGCUUGACCCU
rnacentral:rRNA from 1 species